rnacentral:lncRNA from 1 species
GUUUCCCUCAAAAGUUCCGCCGCGAAGCGCUUCGGCUUCGAAGACCGCAGGAAUUCGGCAAAAAACGUCCGCAAUUCCAAACAUGUUCCGCUCGCUUGCGUGGAAAAAGACACGCGGGAAGGAGGGAAACUCGGCAAAAAAAAAAAAAAAGAAAAACACAACGGGAUCGAUCGUGCGGUGCGAAUGAGAGGGUUCGUCUCUACAGUUGUGCGUUUAGGCUGCGCGGAGAGACGAAACACGGCGAUACAUGUCAUGAACGUGAAGGCGAAACACAUCAAUAAACGGAGAGUAGGACGUCGUGCGCGAAACCCACCUGUGUGGAGUCGGAGCCCAGCGCCCGACACGGGACGGGGGACACGAGGGAACACGGGGGGCUUCGCGUGGGAUUCUUCAAGGACUCGGAGAAGAGGCGCAGAAGCGGCGGCCCCGCGGCUGGAAUCCCAGGAAUGGGGAGAGGUAUGACAGGAAGGCCGGACUCGUCUCGGAGCGAGAGAGAGCGCCGCGGGACAGAGCGAGGCAGCGCGUAAUGAAGCCGCGCGCGCGGGUCCGAGGGGAGGGAGGGAGGGAGGGAGGCAGGGAGAGACGGCCUGGGGUCCGGAAAGGAAAAGAAACACCGCCUCGGCUGGGGAGAAAGGAAAUGGACACGGAGAAAAACAGCUCUGGGGAUGGGGAUUGUCACCGCUUCAUAUGGCAGUAUAAUUCGUAACGAGCGCGCGCGUGUGUGUGUAUGUGUUUGUGUAAGUGAGAGAGAGAGAGAGAGAGAGCGAAUACAAUAACGCACUUUCCGCUGAAAACAAAAAGCUACUUAUGAAAACUAACUGGCAGCCGCAGGGAGUGUAGCGGAACUGUUGCCCCGUUUACACACUGUAGCGUAACGGACUUCUCACAUGAAUUCGGCGCCCUGUCUGUCUCACGACCAACAGUCUGAGAGAAUUCUACACCGAAAUGCUACACACCCCGUUACACGCACGUAAUCAGCCGCUCUUCCCUUUCGCCCUGUUAUUACCCGCUUUCCUCAUGUGUAAAAUUCCUUCAAAUUUGACAAAUGUGUACAGUGUACGACGUUGCGUGACGCCCAGUUUACCGAACUGCUGAAUAAAACUAAAAGGCAAAGGUUUCCGUUAUGUCCU